rnacentral:rRNA from 1 species
AUUUGGAGAGGAUGCUUCUGGCGCGGCGCCGUCCGAGUUCCUUGGAACAGGACGCCAUAGAGGGUGAGAGCCCCGUACGGGCGGCCGCCUAGCCUUUGCGAAGCUCCUUCGACGAGUCGAGUAGUUUGGGAAUGCUGCUCAAAAUGGGAGGUAAAUUUCUUCUAAAGCUAAAUACCGGCCAGAGACCGAUAGCGCACAAGUAGAGUGAUCGAAAGAUGAAAAGCACUUUGAAAAGAGGGUUAAAAAGUACGUGAAAUUGUUGAAAGGGAAGCGCCUGUGACCAGACUUGCGGCCCGCGGAUCAUCCGGUGUUCCUCACCGGUGCGCUCCGCGGGCCGCAGGCCAGCAUCGGCUCUCCUGGGGGGACAAAGGUCGCGGGAACGUGGCUCCUUAGGGAGUGUUAUAGCCCGCUUCGUCAUGCCUCCGGGGGGGCCGAGGACCGCGCUUCGGCAAGGAUGCUGGCGUAAUGGUCACCGGCGACCCGUCUUGAAACACGGACCAAGGAGUCAAGCAUUGGGGCGAGUGUCUGGGUGCCAAACCCGCACGCGAAAUGAAAGUAAACGCAGGUGAGAGCUUCGGCGCAUCACCGACCGAUCCUGAUGUCUUCGGAUGGAUUUGAGUAAGAGCCUUACCGCUUGGACCCGAAAGAUGGUGAACUAUGCCUGUAUAGGGUGAAGCCAGAGGAAACUCUGGUGGAGG